UUUGUGAGUCAUCGAAUCUUUGAACGCACCUUGCGCCCUUUGGCUAUUCCGAAGGGCAUGCCUGUUUGAGUAUCAUGAACACCUCAACUCUCAUGGUUUGCCAUGAUGAGCUUGGACUUUGGGGGUCUUGUUGGCCUGUGAGCCAGCUCCUCUUAAAUGGAUUAGCUUGCCGGUGUUUGGUGGCGUCACAGGUGUGAUAACUAUCUACGCUUGUGGUUUCCCACCAGGUAACCUUCAGCAAUGGAGGUUCACCGGAGCUCAUAAAUGUCUCUCCUCAGCGAGGACAGAUUUUGACCGUUUGAUCUCAAAUCAGGUAGGACUACCCGCUGAACUUAAGCAUAUCAAUAAGCGGAGGAA
rnacentral:rRNA from 1 species